UAAAAGGCACAUGGGGAACUUUUCUCUUUUAGUGUUAACAUGCAAAUCUAGUAAAGUGUAUUUAGAUUUCUGUAAAAUCGGCUCUGUGUGCAAAUUAGAUGGUUGAUUUGCCAGGAGGAAGAGGAACGUUGUUAUUAACUACUUGCAAAUUCUACCAUAAACAGAUGAAAUUAGAUGAUACAGCAUCCUAUAAGCCUCAUUGAAGAAUUUUCCUUUUAUCUCAAGAGCAGCAGUACAUCACUAAAGGAAUUUAGCAAAAUGAAGUGACAUGAUUAGACUUAUAUUCUGGCAACAAAUUGGAGAACAGGAACAGCAAGGUUCUCAGAGUUCAGCCAGCUGGCCUUGUGUUUCCAGUUUUACUCAAGACUUCCAAAAAUUAAAGGCCAUCUCGGCAACGGGAAAGAAAUGCAAGAAGGUCUUUAUCGGUCAGAUGCCCUACAGGUAGUUCUGGGCUUCAAGGAGGAAAGAUUCCAUCAUGUCCACCAAUUCCACGCUGUUGAAAACUGGCAACAAGACGUGCUUGCUGACCCUUCCUAUCCCAGAGCCACAGUCCAAGGCACAGUCUGUUCCAGCUCUGCCAGGACCCUGCAGAAAGGCACCUUGUAGAAUAUUUCAAGUACAGAUAACUAUCCAGCAUCCUGGACACUCCAAUUACCUCAUUAAAAUCAAAUUUAUUUAGGUCAAAUUCAUGCAAUAAAAUGUA